UGUGGUCAGUGCCAGAGUACCCUUUGGACUUUUGAACCAGAGAGGGAACAGGAUGAGUCCACAGGUGCUGUCUGUGUUCGUGUCAGUGAUGUGUCUAUCAGUGUUAAUCUGUGUGGCCAUCCAUUUAUAUAUGGAUAUGUGCAAUUUGUGUGGAAAUGUGUGUUUGUGUGAUGUGUGCACAUAGGUUUACUUGGAAUACUUGGCCUUACUGCUGGUUUGUCCUGAAAGCAUGGAGCUGUGGCAGCCUCACCUCUACCAAGCAAUAAGAUCUGGCCCAAUUUUCCUAACAGAGAUAAGCUGGCAAACAGCUGUAAUAACGGAAUAUAACAAAACCUGAAAUCUGCUGAUAUUUUUCCCAGUUUUUUAAUUCAUAUUAAUGCUUUAUAUUUGGCAACCACAGAUCUCCCCCCCCCCAAAAAGACAACUUUCAGACUCCUGGAGCUAAUAAUUGUCAAACAUACACAUUAUAUAACAUUGCAAGGCUGUUCCCUAAACUAUCAUUUUCUUGUAGUAUGUUGAGAAAUAGACUGUGAAAACUUCAGUCUGAAAUCAUGUAGCUUUAUUUUGCCUCCUUCCUUUAAAUUUUCUCCUUCCUUUAAAUCCUUUAAAUUCUACUCUGCACUUAAAUCUUUUCUCUCCAAUUUGGACAAUUACCUAACCAGUUUUUAAAGGUGAAAGUAGCAUUUGGCAGUACAGCAAAGGUACAUGAUCUAGCCACACAUUCGCUAUAAGAACUGGAGGCAUCCAGCCCUCUAGGUUUUUACAACAUGACUUUUCCCCCCAGGAAAGCCAAGUGCUCCGUUAUGUUUUCAAAAAUAGAAACUGAGUUCACCUUGUCUUUGUGAAACAUGUUUGGUACUCUUCAUCAGCUUAAUCCCCACUGGGCUAUGCUCUAUAAGCAACGGUGUUACGUGAUUGCAGGAAAAAAACAGAGCUUUCGGGUCACGGAGAAUGUGAUGAUGUUUCUCCUCUCCCACCAGCUCCAGGAAUGCUUGUGAAGUGUUUGAGCCCUACCCAGGUGAUUGAUGAACAGACUUUUGACUGCUGUGUUGACAUCACUGGGAUUUUGUCAGUGCACUUUAAAAGGAUAGAGGGAAGAAAAAGAAACCAGAUAUUUUCAUCCUCUGCCAGUGAAAUUGGCUUGUUUGUGUCUGCAGUCCUGGAGCACCAUUUAAGAUUCCUAGGACAGAAACAAGACUGUGUUUUCACGUUGGAGAACAGUCGAUACCUGAAUUUGCAUCACAGGCUUUUGUUCUUAGUUAGGUCUUUCCCACAUGCUAUUAAAUUCAUCCAUUUUCCCAUAGGAGGAAUCCAGACAGAUUUACUCCCUCCCAUCCCAUAUUCCAGAAAGGAAGAUCAGUGGUGAAAGAUCAUCCAGUAGCAUAAAGAUGUACAAUUCAUCUGUUCUGAAGAAAAAGGAAGUCACUUUCAACUGGCUAUAUUGUCAUUCUGUUUUGUAAUCCAUCAAACUGAUGCACUUACCUACAGUUUCAUUUUUCAGAUACAAACAGUUCUUCCAAGUAUGAUUUCCCCAGUUACUCAGAAAUCAAAAUAAAGAGUACGGUAAACCAAAGUUACCCAUGUGGGCUUAUGUAACUGAAUGAUGUGCCUACUUGUUAAGGUAAGGAAGAGCACCAACAGGAAGACUGUAUUUUGCUCACAGUAUGAAAAGGGGAAAUACUGAAGUCUAGCAGAAUCUGAUGAUCAAAAUGAGAGUCUCUAGGCUAUUAUCCAAGGCCCAAACCUCUCAUGCGUGAUUUGUGCUGGCACUGGUACAGUACAGGAGCAGGUCUUGAAGGUCAGAGUCCACAGCCUGCCCCCACAGUGGCUGAUCCCUAGAGCACCUUGUGAGCCUGCAGUUUUCCAUUCAAUUGGUGUAAUAACAUGCAUUAUUAUACAAUAUGAUGGUGCCUGAGACUUUGUGUGUAUCAUCUAUUUUGUGCUUAUAGAGUUACGGUAUGCUGCAGGUUUCAUCAUCCCAUGGGGUUUUUGAGGUGUUGUUGUUUUCCCCCAGCCCAUUUCAGAAGGAAGAACAAUUUCAUGUAUUUUCAUCCACAAUCAGUAAAAGGGAAAAAAUCUUGGCUUAAAUCACUGUUUGUUUUAUUUUUUUACUAUUUUUAACUUUUCUGUCAUUGGCAGAAUGGCAAACGUAUUGAAAUAAAACUGUCU
rnacentral:lncRNA from 1 species